GCCCGGGUGGCGGAAUGGCAGACGCGUCGGUCUCAAAAACCGAUUUCUUCACGGGAGUGUGGGUUCGAAUCCCACUCCGGGCACCA
rnacentral:tRNA from 1 species